AGAGUUUGAUCAUGGCUCAGAUUGAACGCUGGCGGCAGGCCUAACACAUGCAAGUCGAGCGGAUGAAGGGAGCUUGCUCCUGGAUUCAGCGGCGGACGGGUGAGUAAUGCCUAGGAAUCUGCCUGGUAGUGGGGGAUAACGUCCGGAAACGGGCGCUAAUACCGCAUACGUCCUGAGGGAGAAAGUGGGGGAUCUUCGGACCUCACGCUAUCAGAUGAGCCUAGGUCGGAUUAGCUAGUUGGUGGGGUAAAGGCCUACCAAGGCGACGAUCCGUAACUGGUCUGAGAGGAUGAUCAGUCACACUGGAACUGAGACACGGUCCAGACUCCUACGGGAGGCAGCAGUGGGGAAUAUUGGACAAUGGGCGAAAGCCUGAUCCAGCCAUGCCGCGUGUGUGAAGAAGGUCUUCGGAUUGUAAAGCACUUUAAGUUGGGAGGAAGGGCAGUAAGUUAAUACCUUGCUGUUUUGACGUUACCAACAGAAUAAGCACCGGCUAACUUCGUGCCAGCAGCCGCGGUAAUACGAAGGGUGCAAGCGUUAAUCGGAAUUACUGGGCGUAAAGCGCGCGUAGGUGGUUCAGCAAGUUGGAUGUGAAAUCCCCGGGCUCAACCUGGGAACUGCAUCCAAAAACUACUGAGCUAGAGUACGGUAGAGGGUGGUGGAAUUUCCUGUGUAGCGGUGAAAUGCGUAGAUAUAGGAAGGAACACCAGUGGCGAAGGCGACCACCUGGACUGAUACUGACACUGAGGUGCGAAAGCGUGGGGUGCAAACAGGAUUAGAUACCCUGGUAGUCCACGCCGUAAACGAUGUCGACUAGCCGUUGGGAUCCUUGAGAUCUUAGUGGCGCAGCUAACGCGAUAAGUCGACCGCCUGGGGAGUACGGCCGCAAGGUUAAAACUCAAAUGAAUUGACGGGGGCCCGCACAAGCGGUGGAGCAUGUGGUUUAAUUCGAAGCAACGCGAAGAACCUUACCUGGCCUUGACAUGCUGAGAACUUUCCAGAGAUGGAUUGGUGCCUUCGGGAACUCAGACACAGGUGCUGCAUGGCUGUCGUCAGCUCGUGUCGUGAGAUGUUGGGUUAAGUCCCGUAACGAGCGCAACCCUUGUCCUUAGUUACCAGCACCUCGGGUGGGCACUCUAAGGAGACUGCCGGUGACAAACCGGAGGAAGGUGGGGAUGACGUCAAGUCAUCAUGGCCCUUACGGCUAGGGCUACACACGUGCUACAAUGGUCGGUACAAAGGGUUGCCAAGCCGCGAGGUGGAGCUAAUCCCAUAAAACCGAUCGUAGUCCGGAUCGCAGUCUGCAACUCGACUGCGUGAAGUCGGAAUCGCUAGUAAUCGUGAAUCAGAAUGUCACGGUGAAUACGUUCCCGGGCCUUGUACACACCGCCCGUCACACCAUGGGAGUGGGUUGCUCCAGAAGUAGCUAGUCUAACCGCAAGGGGGACGGUUACCACGGAGUGAUUCAUGACUGGGGUGAAGUCGUAACAAGGUA
rnacentral:rRNA from 1 species